GAUGAACGCUGGCGGCGCGCCUAACACAUGCAAGUCGAACGAUUAAAGCACCUUCGGGUGUGUAUAAAGUGGCGAACGGCUGAGUAACACGUGGGCAACCUGCCCCUUUCAUUGGGAUAGCCACGGGAAACCGUGGAUAAUACCGAAUACUUCGAGACUUCCGCAUGGAAGACUCGAGAAAGCUCCGGCGGAGAGGGAUGGGCCCGCGGCCUGUUAGCUUGUUGGUGGGGUAACGGCCUACCAAGGCAAUGAUGGGUAGCUGGGUUGAGAGACCGACCAGCCAGAUUGGGACUGAGACACGGCCCAGACUCCUACGGGAGGCAGCAGUGGGGAAUCUUGCACAAUGGGCGAAAGCCUGAUGCAGCGACGCCGCGUGCGGGAUGAAGGCCUUCGGGUUGUAAACCGCUUUCAGUAGGGACGAGGCGAAAGUGACGGUACCUGCAGAAGAAGCCCCGGCUAACUACGUG
rnacentral:rRNA from 1 species